GGGGAUGACAGGCUUUGACAGUAAAAUAUAACUUUAUAAUGCAUGUCGUUUGGUUCAACGGUAAAAUGACCAAAAACAUAAAUGCAAAAAAUAUUGCGAAAAAAAUGGCUAGUCCAUUUACACCUGCAUUCGCCAUCGCCUAAAUAAUGAGCGUUAGGGAGAUAUAGUUUCGUACUAAGACUCCGGUUUUGUGGAAAAAUAUUCCCCGCUGGUCGAUAGGGAAAUAUUGGAUUUUAAUUUCGUCCUAGAAAGUAUAGUGCUUUCUGAAGUAUACUUUUAAAACUUUUCAGAAUUAUUUAAAUUGUCUUUUGUUUAUUCUUUGUAGUUUAAAGAAAUUUUAGAAUAAAAUAACAUUGUAGAUUUAUCUAGUUAUUUUUACUUGGACGGGAGUUCGAUUCUCCCCAUCUCCACA
rnacentral:tmRNA from 1 species